rnacentral:tRNA from 1 species
UCCGAAUUGGUGUAGUGGUCAACAUUUGACGCUCUCAAUAUCAUCCAAAGGAUGUGUGCAAGAACCGUCAAGCCCGGGGUUCGAUUCCCCGAUUCGGAG